rnacentral:rRNA from 1 species
GACGAACGCUGGCGGCGUGCUUAACACAUGCCAGUCGAACGGAAAGGCCCUGCUUUUGUGGGAUGCUCGAGUGGCGAACGGGUGAGUAACACGUGAGUAACCUUCCCUUGACUUUGGGAUAACUUCAGGAAACUGGGGCUAAUACCGGAUAGGAGCUCCUGCUGCAUGGUGGGGGUUGGAAAGUUUCGGCGGUUGGGGAUGGACUCGCGGCUUAUCAGCUUGUUGGUGGGGUAGUGGCUUACCAAGGCUUUGACGGGUAGCCGGCCUGAGAGGGUGACCGGCCACAUUGGGACUGAGAUACGGCCCAGACUCCUACGGGAGGCAGCAGUGGGGAAGAUUGCACAAUGGGCGGAAGCCUGAUGCAGCAACGCCGCGUGCGGGAUGACGGCCUUCGGGUUGUAAACCGCUUUCGCCUGUGACGAAGCGUGAGUGACGGUAAUGGGUAAAGAAGCACCGGCUAACUACGUG